CACCAAUCUGGCUCCUGUGGCUCUCCUCACAUCUCAGUAACACAUGCAGUUGAUCCUGGCAUCGCAGCUACUGAGAUUAGAGCAUGUAUAAUCCCAAUUUGUUUAAUUAUCAACAGAGUAAAUCAUUGGGGAGUCUGCUUGAACUGUGACUUUCACUUCAAGUAUCUUGAUCAGCAGUGCAAUAUUUGCACUGGACAGAGAAAUAAGCAUGAAGCCCCUUCACUAACUGUUCUCACUGCAGCAGAGGAGCCCUGGUGUGUCACAGCUGGACAGAGGCACCUCUACCUAUGGCAAGGAAGAGCUGAGGUAAGCAUGUCACAUGUAUUUCAGCUAAAUUUUUUGUUGCUGUUUCUUGGACUUUUAGAACAAAAAAGAGUACGUUGAUACUGUCUUUUGACUUCAGAAUUGAACAUAAAACACCAAUUUUGGAGAAAAACAGAAUGAAGUUACUAUUUCUCAGCUAUUCACCAGAAUAUUACUAAUACUCCCUAUGGUAAAUAAGUGUGUUCAUCUCAUUUGCAAUUAAACUAAUUUGACAUUUUUGCUUCUCUAGAAAUAAAUUGUAAAUAAACAAAUUUGGUUUCA
rnacentral:lncRNA from 1 species